CCCUGCCACCGUCUUUACCACGAUUGGGCCGUGACCUCGCUUGACCCGAUCCAGACUCAUCAACACUAACUUUCUUAAUGGGGUCUUGAACACAAGCACCAUUAUCAAUGCCAUCUCAGAGAAUAUCAGUGUAAACAGUAGCUGAAUCAUUUGUUUGUCCUUUUUUGUACUCCGUACGAGAGAGAUGGAGAGCUAAGAUUUCAAAGUAAACGAUUUUGGAGGAUAUGAGCUAACAUGGGGUUACAGCAAUCGAAGUGGAGAGCAGAGAUAAUUGAA
rnacentral:misc_RNA from 1 species